rnacentral:rRNA from 1 species
AUUUAAAGCGGUACGCGAGCUGGGUUCAGAACGUCGUGAGACAGUUCGGUCCCUAUCUGCCGUGGGCGUAAGAAGAUUGAGGAGAGUUGACCCUAGUACGAGAGGACCGGGUUGAACCAACCACUGGCGUAUAAGUUGUCCUGCCAAGGGCACCGCUUAGUAGCUAAGUUGGGAUGUGAUAAGAGCUGAAAGCAUCUAAGCUCGAAGCCAACUCCAAGAUUAAUCUUCUUUUAAGAGCUCUUAUAGACUAUAAGUUUGAUAGGCUGGGUGUGUAAUUGAUGUAAGUCAUUUAGCUGACCAGUACUAAUAGCUCGUUUGCUUAUCUAU